AAACAAAUAGCUUAGUUAAAUGUAAAGCGUAGCACUGAAGAUGCUGAGAUAGGAUUUCCUUUUGUUUG
rnacentral:tRNA from 1 species